rnacentral:rRNA from 1 species
CACGGAGUUAGCCGAUGUUUAUUCGCAGAGUACCGUCAUCAAACUACGCGUAGUCCUUAUUCUUCCCCUGCAAAAGCAGUUUACAACCCAUAAGGCCGUCUUCCUGCACGCGGCAUGGCUGGAUCAGUCUUCCGACCAUUGUCCAAUAUUCCUCACUGCUGCCUCCCGUAGGAGUCUGGUCCGUAUCUCAGUACCAGUGUGGGGGAUAUCCCUCUCAGAACCCCCUAUCUAUCGUCGCCUUGGGGAGCCGUUACCUCUCCAACUAGCUAAUAGAACGCAUACUCAUCUUUCACCGCCUCAGCUUUAAUAUAAAAACUGAUGCCACCCCUAUAUACCAUUAGGUAUUAAUCCAAAUUUCUUCGGGCUAUCCCUAUGUGAAAGGCAGAUUGUAUACGCGUUACGCACCCGUACGCCGGUCGAAGUCCGAAAGCUCCUCCUCGACUUGCAUGUGUUAGGCCUGCCGCUAGCGUUCAUCCUGAGCCAGGAUCAAACUC